rnacentral:rRNA from 1 species
ACUCAAAGGAAUAGACGGGGGCCCGCACAAGCGGUGGAGCAUGUGGUUUAAUUCGACGCAACGCGCAGAACCUUACCCGGGUUUGACAUCCAUGGAAUCCUGCAGAGAUGUGGGAGUGCCCGCAAGGGAACCAUGAGACAGGUGCUGCAUGGCUGUCGUCAGCUCGUGUCGUGAGAUGUUGGGUUAAGUCCCGCAACGAGCGCAACCCUCGCCUUUAGUUGCCAGCAUUCAGUUGGGCACUCUAGAGGGACUGCCGGUGUCAAGCCGGAGGAAGGUGGGGAUGACGUCAAGUCCUCAUGGCCUUUAUGCCCGGGGCUACACACGUGCUACAAUGGCCGGUACAAAGGGCUGCAUAGGCGCGAGCCGAAGCCAAUCCCAGAAAACCGGUCCCAGUUCGGAUUGAAGUCUGCAACUCGACUUCAUGAAGUCGGAAUCGCUAGUAAUCGCGGAUCAGAACGCCGCGGUGAAUACGUUCCCGGGCCUUGUACACACCGCCCGU